AUUAGGUCAUAUUCUUCCCAGUCUAUCUUUGACAAGCAAUCUCCUACUGUGAUGGUUGUUGAUGCCGUUUCACCCCAGGAUUCUCCCAAGGUAGAGGUUGCUAAGCACUGAGAAUUGUUUGUUGGUGGUCAUAGAAUCUUCUCUUCUGGAGGGGAAAGGAGCUGCCUUUUAAAUAUGAGGAUUAUUUGGUUCCUCCGGGCUGCGUUAACUGUUGCCCUGCUGAAGGCGAGUGGAUGGAUUCGAAGUGAGAGAGGAAGUCCCAAGCUGAUGAACCGUGGUCCUGGAAGAGCCAAUAACGUCACGUCCGCAGUAAGCCACAAUCAGCUUGAGAAGACAUACGCCUGCGCCCACGGAGAAUUUCCACCUGAGGACCAGGGUCGGGGAAGGGGCUGAGGUGGGGGCUGGAAUGUUGGUGGCUUUUCAACUUUUUGUUUCUUGCCCACAUACCAAAAGGUGGGAUUCUUUUCUUAAGUACCUUGGCUGUGGACUGCUUACUUCAGGCAAACUGUGGGGCUGGGGGUGGGGGUGGAUGUGAGAACAGAGUGUGAACCGUGGAGAGGAGCUCUCAGGUGAGGCUACACCGAUUCCUUCUCCUCUGGGCUGUGUGUUGAGCACGUAGACAGAGCUGCACUGUCUUGUUACUCUUUCUCUAGGCCACCUACUCACCACGUCCUUCUAGUAGAGCCUUUCCUUGGGAAGAGCAAACUAUGAUUGUUCGGAUUUCAGCUUUCUUAGUUAAAAAUCCCACUCCAGUUGUGCUUCUUGCAGAUGAAGGUAUUCCCAAGCCAGCUUGACUUGACUUGGACAGACACAAAUAGCUUCGGUUUUGUGUUUCCCCACAAUCUCUUUGUUUUUUUCUAGAUGUGGUUAGCAUUAUCUACCGUGUUAUUGGCUUUUCAAUUUAAUGCUCAGCAGAUGAUGUUAUUUGUAAGUUACAAUUGCAGUGGAGGUGGGGAAGGGGCGGAAAUUGCCUCACUUCUCCCUGUGGAUUAAUAUAGGCAGAGUGUUAUGAGCGUUUAAGUGAAAGCCAGUGCCAGGGGGAAAGAGAAAAGAGUUAAAGCAGACCCUGGGAACAUGGCUGUUUAAGGGAGGAGCACAGGAAGGAGGAGACUAGGAAAGAUCCUAGAUUAGUGAGAAACUAUGUUAUGGAAGCCAAAGUAGGUGAGAGUUUUGGGAAGGGGCUUGGUCGGCAAGAGUGUCAACUAUGUGGAGGUCAAGUAGGAUGCGAUCCGCGAGGAAGUAGGUGAGAAUCAGAAAGCCUUGACAGAAAGUGAAACCAGGUGCCAUUGCAAUGAGGAGAAGCUCUGCCUCACAGUCAGUGUUGGAGAAGCAGGUGUUGGACAGGUUUGUUGAUUCCAGUCCAGCCAGUUGCAAACCCAAAUCAGGCUUGAGAAUUAGGCAAUAUGAACCUGAGUCCAGGAAAAUGAGCUAAGAGAUUACUCUAUUAGGUGGGUGUGGACUGGGUGUCCUUAUUGGGAUAAUGUCCAUAAAAAGGGGGCUCACAUCUUAUGGCUCAGGGUCAUUUGCAAAAUUGCCCUGCAUAUCUGCAACUUGUGAACAAGCAACUUUGGUUCUCAGAGGAAUCACCCAGGCUUUCUUGGGAGAGUCACCCCCAUUCUCUUGGGCUCCUAACAUCAGCUCCAGUCCCCUUACAACAGUAAUCUCCUUUUGCUUGAGAUAAUAAAAUUCUCUACUUGGUUAGUGUCUUUAGCCA
rnacentral:lncRNA from 1 species